GGUUUGAUCAUGGCUCAGGAUGAACGCUGGCGGCGUGCCUAACACAUGCAAGUCGAACGGAGCACCCCGGAUCAAGUUUUCGGACGAGAGAAGGGACUGCUUAGUGGCGGACGGGUGAGUAACGCGUGAGCAAUCUGCCUUUCAGAGGGGGACAACAGGAGGAAACUCCUGCUAAUACCGCAUAAUGCAUCGAGAUCGCAUGAUUUUGAUGCCAAAGAUUUAUCGCUGAAAGAUGAGCUCGCGUCUGAUUAGCUAGUUGGUAGGGUAACGGCCUACCAAGGCUUCGAUCAGUAGCCGGACUGAGAGGUUGAUCGGCCACAUUGGGACUGAGACACGGCCCAGACUCCUACGGGAGGCAGCAGUGGGGAAUAUUGCGCAAUGGGGGAAACCCUGACGCAGCAACGCCGCGUGAAGGAUGAAGGUUUUCGGAUUGUAAACUUCUUUGACGAGGGACGAAACCAGACGGUACCUCGAAAACAAGCCCUGGCUAACUACGUGCCAGCAGCCGCGGUAAA
rnacentral:rRNA from 1 species